rnacentral:rRNA from 1 species
AUUGAACGCUGGCGGCAGGCCUAACACAUGCAAGUCGAACGAGUGGCGGAUGGGUGAGUAACACGUGGGAACCUACCCAUCAGAGUGGGAGAACACUUGGAAACAGGUGCUAAUACCGCAUACGGAUGGAUGAAGCCGCGGGGCAAUAGCUAGUUGGUGAGGUAACGGCUCACCAAGUCCACGAUGCAUAGCCGACCUGAGAGGAUGAUCAGCCACACUGGGACGGAGACACGGCCCAGACUCCUACGGGAGGCAGCAGUGGGGAAUAUUGCACAAUGGGCGCAAGCCUGAUGCAGCCAUGCCGCGUGUAUGAAGAAGGCCUUAGGGUUGUAAAGUACUUUCAGCGGGGAGGCGUUACCCGCAGAAGAAGCACCGGCUAACUCCGUGCCAGCAGCCGCGGUAAUAC